rnacentral:rRNA from 1 species
AGAGUUUGAUCCUGGCUCAGGAUGAACGCUAGCGGCAGGCCUAAUACAUGCAAGUCGAACGGUAAAUAUUUAGCAAUAAAUAUGAGAGUGACGUACGGGUGCGUAACACGUAUGCAACCUACCCUUUACAGGCGGAUAGCUCGGGGAAACUCGAAUUAACCCGCCGUAAUAUAAUUGGAUGGCAUCAUCUGGUUAUUAAAUCUACGGAGGUAAAGGAUGGGCAUGCGUCUGAUUAGUUAGUUGGCGGGGUAACGGCCCACCAAGACGAUGAUCAGUAGGGGAACUGAGAGGUUGAUCCCCCACACUGGCACUGAGAUACGGGCCAGACUCCUACGGGAGGCAGCAGUAGGGAAUAUUGGUCAAUGGAUGGAAGUCUGAACCAGCCAUGCCGCGUGCAGGAAGAAGGCCUACUGGGUUGUAAACUGCUUUUGCCAGGGGAUAAAAUGACCUUGCGAGGUUAAUUGAAGGUACCUGGUGAAUAAGCCACGGCUAACUACGUGCCAGCAGCCGCGGUAAUACGUAGGUGGCAAGCGUUGUCCGGACUUAUUGGGUUUAAAGGGUGCGUAGGCGGCUUAUUAAGUCAGUGGUGAAAUACUCUAGCUCAACUAGAGGGGUGCCAUUGAUACUGAUGAGCUUGAGUACAGAUGAGGUAGGCGGAAUUGACGGUGUAGCGGUGAAAUGCUUAGAUAUCGUCAAGAACACCUAUAGCGAAGGCAGCUUACUAGGCUGUAACUGACGCUGAGGCACGAAAGUGUGGGGAUCAAACAGGAUUAGAUACCCUGGUAGUCCACGCUGUAAACGUUGGGCGCUAGGUGUGGGGGUCUUCCACGAUCUCCGUGCCGGAGCUAACGCAUUAAGCGCCCCGCCUGGGGAGUACGGCCGCAAGGCUAAAACUCAAAGGAAUUGACGGGGGCCCGCACAAGCGGCGGAGCAUGUUGCUUAAUUCGACGCAACGCGAAGAACCUUACCAAGGUUUGACAUCACCCGGAAACGUCCAGAGAUGGGCGCCUCUUCGGACUGGGUGACAGGUGGUGCAUGGCUGUCGUCAGCUCGUGUCGUGAGAUGUUGGGUUAAGUCCCGCAACGAGCCAACCCUUGUUCCAUGUUGCCAGCACGCUCCUUCGGGGGUGGUGGGGACUCAUGGGAGACUGCCGGGGUCAACUCGGAGGAAGGUGGGGAUGACGUCAAGUCAUCAUGCCCCUUAUGUCUUGGGCUGCAAACAUGCUACAAUGGCCGGUACAGAGGGCUGCUAAACCGUGAGGUGGAGCGAAUCCCUAAAAGCCGGUCUCAGUUCGGAUUGGGGUCUGCAACUCGACCCCAUG